UACGUAGGGUGCGAGCGUUGUCCGGAAUUAUUGGGCGUAAAGGGCUCGUAGGCGGUCUGUCACGUCGGGAGUGAAAACUCAGGGCUUAACCCUGAGCCUGCUUCCGAUACGGGCAGACUAGAGGUAUGCAGGGGGAGAACGGAAUUCCUGGUGUAGCGGUGAAAUGCGCAGAUAUCAGGAGGAACACCGGUGGCGAAGGCGGUUCUCUGGGCAUUACCUGACGCUGAGGAGCGAAAGUGUGGGGAGCGAACAGG
rnacentral:rRNA from 1 species